GCUUAACACAUGCAAGUCGAACGAGCCUUUCGGGUUUAGUGGCGCAACGGGUGCGUAACGCGUGGGAAUCUACCCUUUUGUACGGGAAUAACUCAGGGAAACUUGAGCUAAUACCGUAUAAUGACUUCGGUCCAAAGAUUUAUCGCCUGAGGAUGAGCCCGCGUAGGAUUAGCUUGUUGGUGAGGUAAAAGCUCACCAAGGCGACGAUCCUUAGCUGGUCUGAGAGGAUGAUCAGCCACACUGGGACUGAGACACGGCCCAGACUCCUACGGGAGGCAGCAGUGGGGAAUAUUGGACAAUGGGCGAAAGCCUGAUCCAGCAAUGCCGCGUGAGUGAUGCAGGCCUUAGGGUUGUAAAGCUCUUUUACCCGGGAUGAUAAUGACAGUACCGGGAGAAUAAGCCCCGGCUAACUCCGUGCCAGCAGCCGCGGUAAUAC
rnacentral:rRNA from 1 species